rnacentral:SRP_RNA from 1 species
GCCGGGUGUGGUGGCACGUGCCUGUAGUCCCAGCUACUCAGGAGGCUGAGGCAGGAGAAUUGCUUGAACCUGGGAGGUGGAGGUUGCAGUGAGCCAAGACCACACCACUGCACACCAGCCUGGGAGACAGAGUCUCAUUUUGUCUCAAAAAAAAAAAAAAAAGCAAAUGUUCUUUUUUUGUUGUUGAAACAGAGUCUUGCUCUGUCGCCCAGGGGCUGCAGUAUAGUGGCAUGAUCUCGGCUCACUGCAACCUCUGCCUCCCAGGUUAAAGAGAUUCUCCUGCCUCAG